GGAGUUGGAAUCCAGUGGCAGAACAUCUGGUUUGCUUGCAGAAGGUCUCAGGUUCAAUCCCUGGCAUCUCCC